rnacentral:lncRNA from 1 species
UCAAAGUGUGUUGCCUUCGGCAAGAGCGCUUGGAGUUAGGCCUUCGGCAAUUUUUUGACUUAGAACCAUGAUUUUGGUGGCCCUUCGUUCAAUUGCCCAGUUCUUACCGUUCGGCAGCCUUGUGAGCACAGGCUGUGAACUCGUUUCGGCAACACUAGUAAUUGGAGCUGGCCCUCGUGCUAUGAGGACUUGGAGCCAUGAUUUUUUUUUAGUCUUCCC